AGGAGAUUAUGCCCCUUAGAGAGCGAACGCAGAGACCUCGGGACGGAGCGAACACUGGCCCUCAGUCUUUUGCUCAAGGUGACUGAUUGAAAACAGAGCUGUACGUGUGCAUAAUAAAACAACUCUUUCUGUGGAAGGCUCUGCUGCUGCGCUUUGGACGCUUUGCCAUGAAUAGUCAAUAGCUCCCAGUUUUGUGCAGGCAAGAGGAUGGUUGUUAGUGCUGUUGCAGAGCAUCUUUGCUGCCUCAUCUCCAAAAUUCGCCCUGUCUUUCCUUCUCUGGAGAAAAAUCAAAAGGUGUCUGUGUGCUCAGUGCUGCAGUGAACAUAGAGCUAUGCCUCUGAACCAAUAAUGAAACACCUACAUGUGCUGAACAUGAGGAAGUUCAAACAGAGUUCCCCCAGCAGAAGUCCCAUAGCUGAGCUAUUCCAGUUUUGAAACAGAAAGCACCAUCUGCUUCUAACAAAUUAGUAUUGGCAUCUGUUUAAACUUCUGAAGAAUGGGACUGUGAAGGAAAUCUGGACUGCAACAUGUGCUUUUCUAAGAAAAGCUGGCAUGCUCUGCGUGCACCAAAAGCAGUUGGUGAACGUCUUAAAAAAAAAAAAAAAAAAAAAAAAUUGAAAUCUUUAAGGUUUUUUUAAAUGCCUACAAGAGCUGGGAAGCCACAUGUCCAAAUAUCCAUAUAUUUCCCUGGGAAUAGAAUUAACCUGUAAUUUGAAAAAGCACUUAAACAAGUGGGGGAAAAAAAAAACAACAAUGAACCCCUAGCAACUGCUGCGGGCCAGUUACCUCAGCAGAAAACAGCCAGCAGGCUUGUUUCCCAUCUCUUUUGGGAAGGAACAAUGUCACUCAAUGUAACCAGAGGCUUUUUAAGAGGGGACUGUCAGAGCCAAAUAGAUUCAGGCACAUUACAGGCCAGUUCUGCUUUCUGUGCACUCUCAAAACUUGCAGAACAGCCAAGAAGAUUUUGGAGAAUGCCUGGAAUGCAGGAUUGGGCCCUGACUAUAUUUUUCUCCUAAAGGCCAGGCUAACAACCAAAAGGCUUUCAUCCUUAGUUUGCCUGAAGACACAGCCAAAAAGAGAAGAUUAGAAAACAAAACCAAAAAAAGCCAGGGCUGUGAAGGCUAUGAAAACUAAUGAUGCUGUCUCCAUAACACACUUUCAUCUCUAGGAACGUUGAAAACAUGUUAGAAAUGUA